AAUUCUGACCUUAGUAGCAAAGACCAUUUUUGAAAUUUUACCCUGAUGCCCAAUUAGUAUUUGGAUGGGAGACUGCCUGAAAAUACUGGGUGCUGUAGGUU
rnacentral:rRNA from 1 species